rnacentral:sRNA from 1 species
UGCCAAAGGUGCUCAAUUGGGUUAAGGU